AGAGUUUGAUCAUGGCUCAGAUUGAACGCUGGCGGCAGGCCUAACACAUGCAAGUCGAGCGGUAGCACAGAGAGCUUGCUCUCGGGUGACGAGCGGCGGACGGGUGAGUAAUGUCUGGGAAACUGCCUGAUGGAGGGGGAUAACUACUGGAAACGGUAGCUAAUACCGCAUAACGUCGCAAGACCAAAGUGGGGGACCUUCGGGCCUCAUGCCAUCAGAUGUGCCCAGAUGGGAUUAGCUAGUAGGUGGGGUAACGGCUCACCUAGGCGACGAUCCCUAGCUGGUCUGAGAGGAUGACCAGCCACACUGGAACUGAGACACGGUCCAGACUCCUACGGGAGGCAGCAGUGGGGAAUAUUGCACAAUGGGCGCAAGCCUGAUGCAGCCAUGCCGCGUGUAUGAAGAAGGCCUUCGGGUUGUAAAGUACUUUCAGCGGGGAGGAAGGCGAUAAGGUUAAUAACCUUGUCGAUUGACGUUACCCGCAGAAGAAGCACCGGCUAACUCCGUGCCAGCAGCCGCGGUAAUACGGAGGGUGCAAGCGUUAAUCGGAAUUACUGGGCGUAAAGCGCACGCAGGCGGUCUGUCAAGUCGGAUGUGAAAUCCCCGGGCUCAACCUGGGAACUGCAUUCGAAACUGGCAGGCUAGAGUCUUGUAGAGGGGGGUAGAAUUCCAGGUGUAGCGGUGAAAUGCGUAGAGAUCUGGAGGAAUACCGGUGGCGAAGGCGGCCCCCUGGACAAAGACUGACGCUCAGGUGCGAAAGCGUGGGGAGCAAACAGGAUUAGAUACCCUGGUAGUCCACGCCGUAAACGAUGUCGAUUUGGAGGUUGUGCCCUUGAGGCGUGGCUUCCGGAGCUAACGCGUUAAAUCGACCGCCUGGGGAGUACGGCCGCAAGGUUAAAACUCAAAUGAAUUGACGGGGGCCCGCACAAGCGGUGGAGCAUGUGGUUUAAUUCGAUGCAACGCGAAGAACCUUACCUGGUCUUGACAUCCACAGAACUUNNNNNNNNNNNNNNNNNNNNNNNNNNNNNNNNNUUGGUGCCUUCGGGAACUGUGAGACAGGUGCUGCAUGGCUGUCGUCAGCUCGUGUUGUGAAAUGUUGGGUUAAGUCCCGCAACGAGCGCAACCCUUAUCCUUUGUUGCCAGCGGUUCGGCCGGGAACUCAAAGGAGACUGCCAGUGAUAAACUGGAGGAAGGUGGGGAUGACGUCAAGUCAUCAUGGCCCUUACGACCAGGGCUACACACGUGCUACAAUGGCAUAUACAAAGAGAAGCGACCUCGCGAGAGCAAGCGGACCUCAUAAAGUAUGUCGUAGUCCGGAUUGGAGUCUGCAACUCGACUCCAUGAAGUCGGAAUCGCUAGUAAUCGUAGAUCAGAAUGCUACGGUGAAUACGUUCCCGGGCCUUGUACACACCGCCCGUCACACCAUGGGAGUGGGUUGCAAAAGAAGUAGGUAGCUUAACCUUCGGGAGGGCGCUUACCACUUUGUGAUUCAUGACUGGGGUGAAGUCGUAACAAGGUAACCGUAGGGGAACCUGCGGUUGGAUCACCU
rnacentral:rRNA from 1 species